UUCCGACGAAGCAUUGCACGAUUUGUGUGAGUGUUGCAGGUUCAAUUCUGUUGCGGAAGAACGGAAAAAGAUGGAUUAGAACACACAAACAAAAAAGCGAAUUGCUCAGCAAUCGGACCAGCACCACCACCAGCCCCUGCGAGAACAGCAGCUUGCUUCCUUUCGGGCUCGAGCCGACGAUGUUUUGCAGCGUCCAAAAGCACGUCUCCUGCAAUGGCCGACAGUUGGGAUUUUCCGCCAGCGCUAUCAGAUAAUCGGAACGGACAACAAGGAGCGGAACAAAGUAGAGUAUGCUGUGCCAAGAGCGGCACCAGAGGUAUAUAUAUUCAUCAGUAGGUUGACAAUCGAGCGUUAUCCGUGGUAGAUGUACACAGAGCGGCGCUACACGAGGACACGAAGACUACAGACAAACAAAACCGAGUCAUUUCUAUCACAAAUCCUUGUCUAAGACACGCAGCUCAACCCCUUUUUUCUCCUACGGUUUCUGGCGCUCUGGAGAAGCAUUUAAAGAGAUUGGCUGUGGAGUGCUAGAAUCCCAUUUCCCAUCCAUCAAACGUUAUCGGUGUGUGUGUUUAUCUCUCUCUCCGCCUCUCUUCAAUUUAGCAUUCAAAUUUGGAAAUGUUGAUGAUACAGUUUGGAUUUAGCUGAAUAUACUUCUCAGUAAUUAAUGUUGUAUUCGAACCAACUUGCUUUUAUACAUU